AUUGAAACGCUGGCGGCAGGCCUAACACAUGCAAGUCGAGCGGUAACAGAGGUAGCUUGCUACCUGCUGACGAGCGGCGGACGGGUGAGUAACGCGUAGGAAUCUACCAAGUAGUGGGGGAUAAGCCAGAGAAAUUUGGUCUAAUACCGCAUACGUUCUUCGGAAGAAAGGAGGGGAUCUUCGGACCUUUCGCUAUUUGAUGAGCCUGUGUGAGAUUAGCUUGUUGGUGAGGUAAUGGCUCACCAAGGCGACGAUCUCUAGCUGGUCUGAGAGGAUGAUCAGCCACACUGGGACUGAGACACGGCCCAGACUCCUACGGGAGGCAGCAGGUGGGGAAAUAUUGCACAAUGGGCGCAAGCCUGAUGCAGCCAUGCCGCGUGUGUGAAGAGG
rnacentral:rRNA from 1 species